UAUUCCCAAACAACUCGACUCUUCGACUGCAUUUUACAUGAAGCAGUGAACACAUCGCACGGGAUUCUCACCCUCUGUGACGUCCUGUUCCAAGGAACUUCGACAUGUGCUUACUUCAAAAUACGUCUUCAAAUUACAACUCGCAGCCUGAAAGACUGAGAUUCCAAAUUUGAGCUUUUGCCGCUUCACUCGCCGUUACUGAGGCAAUCCCUGUUGGUUUCUUUUCCUCCGCGCUUAUUGAUAUGCA
rnacentral:rRNA from 1 species